AAGUAUAAGUUGUUAAGCGAUCGCGCUAAAAUCACAGAACUCGGGAGUGCCUAACACCUUCUCCCUGGUUAACAGAAUUUCUUACCUGAUCUUUUGAUUUUGCAGAUUUAAAAAAACAAAGUCAAUUCCCUUGAAUUGGGAUUUUAAAAUAAAUGGUGACUUGGGACACCAAAACUCAAUUCCAAGUGGCGACUCUUAAAUAUAAAUAAAAUAAUCUCAUUUCGAAUAAUGUCACUUUAAUUAUAAAAACUCUCAUACCACCUCGGGGUGUAUUAAAAAGGAGGUGUGACAGCUAUAGCGACUCCGUUGAGGAUAUAACCUAGAACUUCUGUUCUGGGAUCAGAAUUCGAGCUUGUAAUAUGAUUUACACUUGGCUUU
rnacentral:lncRNA from 1 species